UGUAUCUGAGUAAACGCAAAAAUGUUGAUUUUGGGAAUAUUGUAUACGAUAAUAAACUCACAGUUGAUAUGAAGUCUUCAGAAAUUGGUUGCUUACAUGAAACAGUCAACUCACAUAGCUAUGCUAAUAUAUAAAUUCAUUAACAUGAAAAGUGUUCGGUUACUGUAUGCACAUAUGUCUAAACAAAUGAAAAAAACUAUGACUGCAGGCCACAUGUACCAAAUGAACAUCACCUCAAACCUAAUGUUACACAGAUAAUUCAAACCAAGUUUCGGUAACAUGAUUUUCCUCAACCCUUAGAGGAAGAGGUGGAAGUCAGAUGGAGCCAAGUCUGGGAUGUACGGUGGGUGGUCCACGACAGUGAAUCUGGG